CAGACACCCGAGGGACCACAGACAUACGGCUUCCUGUAGCCGCAAGGGAAGGCGCGGGGCUCCUGAGCCCGCGACGGGAGCGCGCUGAAGGGACCCGGCCCUGCCCCUGUCCAUGAGGCUGGGCCCAGAAGAGGGAAGCGCCCCAGCACGGGCACCAACUAGCGCCCAACGCCCCCACCAUCCUCAUCCGAGCUUCAGGGUGAGGGAGCCGAGCGUUCCACUGAUUUCCCGCCUUUAUCAGGAAAGUCGUUUACACAAAUACAGAGUCUAGAGCAAGAAUGCCUGUGUCGACCAAAGUCCACAUGGACCGAGAAGCAAACACGAAGUCCUAACUGGAUGUGGGGUCUGAGGAAGGCCCUGCAUCAGAGACUACUCUUGGUCUGAGCGCGAGGAAGUUUGCGUCAUCCAAGGUGCGGACACGGCAGGCGCGGCAGAUCAUGGGGUAAGACCUGGAAUUCAGGGUUGGUGAGAGCUGGGAGCUCAAGCACUGGUUGGUUUCCAGGAUGCCCAUUUCUGUCCUCAGACCAGAGAAAGUGGUAAGAGACACUGCCAUGCUAAAGCUUAGGGUGGAAGAAGCAGAGCCAGAGCCUGGGGAGAAGAAACCCAAAGAAAUAAGAAAUUAGAGACAAAUGAACGAAUUAUGGUGAUGGAUGUACUGCCUGGUAAAUUACUGAAAUCAUUGAAGCAUACAAUGAUACUGGUCUAGACUUUGUCAGCAUUCCACAACUCUGAGAAUCCUCAACUGCAAAAACAAGGCACAAGAAGCCAAAGCUCAGAGGUCAGGCUCUGACAAGAGUGCCAGAGAGAGGACCCAGCAUGCCAGGUAACCACGUGGAGCUGCAAUAACAGAACUGAAGGGGGUGUCAUGGAAUCUCGGGAGCUCCUGUCUUCCAGGGGACUAGGCCAAACUGAUACUAAAGGCCACCUGGUCUGUUCUGAAGGUCGCCACUGAUGGGGACAUUCCCUCAGCAGCCACUCUCUGUAUUUGUGUACCCUUGUACUGAUACCACAGAACUAUCUCUUUCUAAAAUUUAAACCUGCUUUGUAUUGUUUACUCUUGCAAGCAUAGAAAACAUGAAGGAACUGAGGUUUUUCCAAUUCUUUCAUUGUUAAAGGACUGUCAUGAAGAUACUUUUCUUAUAGAAAAAUGGAAAACUUUUAGAUAUUCUUGAUGUUCUUUGUUUCUCUAGUUUUUUCACACCAUUUUAAUAUUGUAAGGGAAAAAAUCCUGAGUAUAAUACAGUGACUGUAAUGCAGCCUGGCCGAGUGCGGCCCUUAGCACAG
ensembl:lncRNA